rnacentral:rRNA from 1 species
UACGGGGGGGGCAAGCGUUGUUCGGAAUUACUGGGCGUAAAGGGCGCGUAGGCGGCCUACUAAGUCGGACGUGAAAUCCCUCGGCUCAACCGAGGAACUGCGUCCGAUACUGGCAGGCUGGAAUCCGGGAGAGGGAUGUGGAAUUCCAGGUGUAGCGGUGAAAUGCGUAGAUAUCUGGAGGAACACCGGUGGCGAAGGCGGCAUCCUGGACCGGUACUGACGCUGAGACGCGAAAGCGUGGGGAGCAAACAGG